ACGUCACAAUUAACUGUUGAGGUAUGAAGCAUUUUCUGUUAUGAAGGUGAAGGACUAUAUUAAGAGCCAAGAAAUGCUAUUCACAAUUUCGGCCCUUUUGAUGCGAAUGAAGGUAUGGCCUGCUGUUUCCAUGCAGAAUCCCGAAGUGACAGACAACGGAACAGAGACAAGAAAGGUGAGGGCCCCAGCUUAGGACUUUCAGUGUCAGCAAGAAGGCUCGGGAGCCCUGAAGCUUGCUUGUGACUCCAUGAUGGAUCAGCAGACCGUAAGCAAGUUAAUCUCCAAGCAAUAGACUAAAUCCAAUGGACCUGCUCUAGCCGUCCUAACGAUCAAAUAAAGUUCCUACUACCCA